AUGAAAGGCACGGACAAAGCAGAGACCAAAGUCAAGAAACCUAAGAGACACAACCCCUUCAUAGCCUCGAAUCAAGGCCAAAGUUAUACAGAGAUCGGCACAGGACGGAGCCGCAGAGGUAGCAAAAUUAAACACGCCUUGUUCUUUGUUUCUUUUUUUUGUUUAAGCAGAAGAUUUGCAUUUUCUUUCUUCAUUUCUUUCUUUUUUUCCUUGGGGACUGUCUUAUUUCUUUCUUUCUCUCUGUCUGUCUCUCUUUCUGUCUUUAUCUCUACAUGUCAGG
rnacentral:lncRNA from 1 species